rnacentral:rRNA from 1 species
UACAUGGGGUGCAAACGUUGCUCGGAAUUAUUGGGCGUAAAGCGCGCGUAGGCGGUUACUUAAGUCGGAUGUGAAAGCCCUUGGCUCAACUGAGGAAGUGCAUCCGAAACUGGCAGGCUAGAGUACUAAAGAGGGUCGCGGAAUUCCCGGUGUAGAGGUGAAAUUCGUAGAUAUCGGGAGGAACACCGGUGGCGAAGGCGGCGACCUGGGUAGAUACUGACGCUGAGGUGCGAAAGCGUGGGGAGCAAACAGG